GUAGGUGACAAGCGUUGUCCGGAAUUAUUGGGCGUAAAGCGCGCGCAGGCGGUCCUUUAAGUCUGAUGUGAAAGCCCACGGCUCAACCGUGGAGGGUCAUUGGAAACUGGGGGACUUGAGUACAGAAGAGGAAAGCGGAAUUCCAAGUGUAGCGGUGAAAUGCGUAGAGAUUUGGAGGAACACCAGUGGCGAAGGCGGCUUUCUGGUCUGUAACUGACGCUGAGGCGCGAAAGCGUGGGGAGCAAACAGGGAUUAGAUACCCUGGUAGUCCACGCCGUAAACGAUGAGUGCUAAGUGUUAGGGGGUUUCCCGCCCCUUAGUGCUGCAGCUAACGCAUUAAGCACUCCGCCUGGGGAGUACGGCCGCAAGGCUG
rnacentral:rRNA from 1 species